CGCGUAGGCGGGCCAUCAAGUCCGGGGUGAAAUCCUUCGGCUUAACCGGAGAAUUGCCUUGGAUACUGAUGGUCUUGAGGGAAGUAGGGGUCUGCGGAACUUCCGGUGGAGCGGUGAAAUGUGUUGAUAUCGGAAGGAACGCCGGUGGCGAAAGCGGCGGACUGGGCUUCUUCUGACGCUGAGGCGCGAAAGCUAGGGGAGCAAACG
rnacentral:rRNA from 1 species